rnacentral:rRNA from 1 species
AGAAGGAUGACUAGAUAUAAAUAGUAAGGACGUUUAUUUAUCGACGAAAUGUUAUGGGGGAAUAGAAAAAUAUGAUGAUCCAUAAAUUUCCUUUAUUGAAAACAAUAUAUUAAUAAAAAAAUUAUAUAAUUUCUUAAUUUUAUAAAACUUGAUGAACUGAAACAUCUAAGUAAUCAAAGGAAAAAAUUUAUACUGUAAGUACUGGUGAGGGAACAUGGUAAUUAGUUAGAGAUGUUCUGAAGAAAUAUAUUAUUAACCAAUAAUAUAAGUAGGGGCAGUAUGGUUUUAGCCCUAUAAAAAAUUUUAUUUAAAAAGAUUAAAAGCCAAAGAAGGUGUCAGUCCUGUAAUGAUAAAAUUAAAUAAAUUAUAAAGUAAAAUGUUAUAUGUUAAAUAAUAUUUGAAAAUGACAAAAAACUAUUGUUGGCUUAAAAUACUAUUUAUAAUCGAUAGUGAACUA